rnacentral:rRNA from 1 species
CGAACGGGUGAGUAACGCGUGGGUAACCUGCCUUAUAGCGGGGGAUAACUAUUGGAAACGAUAGCUAAUACCGCAUAACAAUAGAGAUUGCAUAAUCUUUAUUUGAAAGUACCAACUGGUACACUAUGAGAUGGACCCGCGUUGUAUUAGCUAGUUGGUAGUGUAAUGGACUACCAAGGCGAUGAUACAUAGCCGACCUGAGAGGGUGAUCGGCCACAUUGGGACUGAGACACGGCCCAAACUCCUACGGGAGGCAGCAGUAGGGAAUCUUCGGCAAUGGACGAAAGUCUGACCGAGCAACGCCGCGUGAGUGAAGAAGGUUUUCGGAUCGUAAAACUCUGUUGUUAGAGAAGAAUGUCGAUUAGAGUGGAAAAUUAAUCAAGUGACGGUAUCUAACCAGAAAGGGACGGCUAACUACGUGCCAGCAGCCGCGGUAAUACGUAGGUCCCGAGCGUUGUCCGGAUUUAUUGGGCGUAAAGCGAGCGCAGGUGGUUUAAUAAGUCUGAUGUAAAAGGCAGUGGCUCAACCAUUGUGUGCAUUGGAAACUGUUAGACUUGAGUGCAGUAGAGGAGAGUGGAAUUCCAUGUGUAGCGGUGAAAUGCGUAGAUAUAUGGAGGAACACCGGUGGCGAAAGCGGCUCUCUGGACUGUCACUGACACUGAGGCUCGAAAGCGUGGGUAGCAAACAGGAUUAGAUACCCUGGUAGUCCACGCCGUAAACGAUGAGUGCUAGGUGUCGGAGGGGAACCUUCGGUGCCGCAGCUAACGCAAUAAGCACUCCACCUGGGGAGUACGAUCGCAAGAUUGAAACUCAAAGGAAUUGACGGGGGCCCGCACAAGCGGUGGAGCAUGUGGUUUAAUUCGAAGCAACGCGAAGAACCUUACCAAGGCUUGACAUCCCGAUGACG